rnacentral:rRNA from 1 species
GGCGAAAUUCCUUGUCGGGUAAGUUCCGACCUGCACGAAUGGCGUAACGACUUCCCCGCUGUCUCCAACAUCGGCUCAGCGAAAUUGAAUUCUCCGUGAAGAUGCGGAGUACCCGCGGUCAGACGGAAAGACCCCGUGCACCUUUACUACAGCUUUGCAGUGGUAUCGGCGAGUGGAUGUGUAGGAUAGGCGGGAGCCUAUGAAGCGGCGGCGCCAGCUGUCGUGGAGGUACCCUUGAAAUACCGCCCUUCCCCUUAUCGAUAUCUAACCGUGGCCCGUUAUCCGGGUCCGGGACCCUGCAUGGCGGGUAGUUUGACUGGGGCGGUCGCCUCCCAAAUGGUAACGGAGGCGCGCGAUGGUGGGCUCAAGCUGGUCGGACAUCAGCUGACGAGUGCAAUGGCAUAAGCCCGCCUGACUGUGAGACUGACAGUCGAGCAGAGACGAAAGUCGGCCAUAGUGAUCCGGUGGUCCCUCGUGGAUGGGCCAUCGCUCAACGGAU